rnacentral:ncRNA from 2 species
GUUAAUAAAAGUUGAAAAGCUUAUAUAGGGCCAUAAUAUGGAUGGCUGUCUCUACCCGAACCCGUAAAGUUUGGACUAUAAGCAAAAUUAGCCGUCAU